rnacentral:rRNA from 1 species
UACGUAGGUGGCAAGCGUUGUCCGGAUUUAUUGGGUUUAAAGGGUGCGUAGGCGGUCAAUUAAGUCAGUGGUGAAAUACGGCAGCUCAACUGUCGAGGUGCCAUUGAUACUGGUUGACUUGAGUACUGAUGAGGUAGGCGGAAUGGACGGUGUAGCGGUGAAAUGCUUAGAGAUCGUCCAGAACACCGAUAGCGAAGGCAGCUUACUAAAGUGUGAUUGACGCUGAGGCACGAAAGCGUGGGGAUCAAACAGG